rnacentral:rRNA from 1 species
GACGAACGCUGGCGGCGUGCCUAAUACAUGCAAGUCGAACGCAGUGGGGACGGGUGAGUAACACGUGGGUAACCUCCCAUCAGAGGGGAUAACACUUGGCAACAGGUGCUAAACCGAUACUGCCGGACGGACCCGCGGUGCAUUAGCUAGUUGGUGAGGUAACGGCUCACCAAGGCCACGAUGCAUAGCGGACCUUAAAGGGUGAUCGUCCACACUAGGAGUUAGACACGGCCCUGACUCCUACGGGAGGCAGCAGUAGGGAAUCUUCGGCAAUGGACGAAAGUCUGACCGAGCAACGCCGCGUAAGUGAAGAAGGUUUCCGGAUCGUAAAACUCUGUUGUUAUAGAAGCGGUAUCUAACCAGAAAGCCACGGCUAACUACGUGCGAGCAGCCGCGGUAAUUC